rnacentral:rRNA from 1 species
UACAGAGGUCCCGAGCGUUGUUCGGAUUCAUUGGGCGUAAAGGGUGUGUAGGCGGUUGCUUAAGUUUGGUGUGAAAUCUCCCGGCUCAACUGGGAGGGUGCGCCGAAUACUGAGUGACUAGAGUGCGGGAGAGGAGAGUGGAAUUCCUGGUGUAGCGGUGAAAUGCGUAGAUAUCAGGAGGAACACCGGUGGUGUAGACGGCUCUCUGGACCGUAACUGACGCUGAGACACGAAAGCGUGGGUAGCAAACAGG